rnacentral:rRNA from 1 species
CGAGUGGCGGACGGGUGAGUAAUGUCUGGGAAACUGCCCGAUGGAGGGGGAUAACUACUGGAAACGGUAGCUAAUACCGCAUAACGUCGCAAGACCAAAGAGGGGGACCCUCGGGCCUCUUGCCAUCGGAUGUGCCCAGAUGGGAUUAGCUUGUUGGUGGGGUAACGGCUCACCAAGGCGACGAUCCCUAGCUGGUCUGAGAGGAUGACCAGCCACACUGGAACUGAGACACGGUCCAGACUCCUACGGGAGGCAGCAUG